rnacentral:rRNA from 1 species
UACGUAGGAUGCAAGCGUUGUCCGGAAUUAUUGGGCGUAAAGGGCGCGCAGGCGGCCCGUCAAGUUAGUUGUGAAAUUUUUCGGCUUAACCGAAAAGGGUCAACUAAAACUGGCGAGCUAGAGUGCAGCAGAGGAAAGUGGAAUUCCCGGUGUAGUGGUGAAAUGCGUAGAGAUCGGGAGGAACACCAGAGGCGAAAGCGGCUUUCUGGGCUGCAACUGACGCUGAGGCGCGAAGGCUAGGGUAGCAAACAGG